CAGUCGCCGCGGUAAUACGUAGGUGGCAAGCGUUGUCCGGAAUUAUUGGGCGUAAAGGGCUCGCAGGCGGUUUCUUAAAUCUGAUGUGAAAGCCCCCGGCUCAACCGGGGAGGGUCAUUGGAAACUGGGAAACUUGAGUGCAGAAGAGGAGAGUGGAAUUCCACGUGUAGCGGUGAAAUGCGUAGAGAUGUGGAGGAACACCAGUGGCGAAGGCGACUCUCUGGUCUGUAACUGACGCUGAGGAGCGAAAGCGUGGGGAGCGAACAGGAUUAGAUACCCCUGUAGUCCCUGUCUCUUAUAC
rnacentral:rRNA from 1 species